AGUGAACGCUGGCGGUAGGCCUAACACAUGCAAGUCGAACGGCAGCACAGUAAGAGCUUGCUCUUACGGGUGGCGAGUGGCGGACGGGUGAGGAAUACAUCGGAAUCUACUUUUUCGUGGGGGAUAACGUAGGGAAACUUACGCUAAUACCGCAUACGACCUACGGGUGAAAGCAGGGGAUCUUUGGACCUUGCGCGAUUGAAUGAGCCGAUGUCGGAUUAGCUAGUUGGCGGGGUAAAGGCCCACCAAGGCGACGAUCCGUAGCUGGUCUGAGAGGAUGAUCAGCCACACUGGAACUGAGACACGGUCCAGACUCCUACGGGAGGCAGCAGUGGGGAAUAUUGGACAAUGGGCGCAAGCCUGAUCCAGCCAUACCGCGUGAGUGAAGAAGGCCUUCGGGUUGUAAAGCCCUUUUGUUGGGAAAGAAAAGCAGCAGGUUAAUACCCCGCUGUUCUGACGGUACCCGAAGAAUAAGCACCGGCUAACUUCGUG
rnacentral:rRNA from 1 species